rnacentral:rRNA from 1 species
UACGGAGGAUGCAAGCGUUAUCCGGAUUUAUUGGGCGUAAAGCGUCUGUAGGUUGCUUAGUAAGUCUGUUGUUAAAGCCUAAGGCUUAACCUUAGAUCUGCAGUGGAAACUGCUAAGCUUGAGUAUGAUAGGGGUAGAGGGAAUUCCUAGUGUAGCGGUGAAAUGCGUAGAUAUUAGGAAGAACACCAGAAGCGAAGGCGCUCUACUGGGACAUUACUGACACUCAGAGACGAAAGCUAGGGGAGCGAAUGGGAUUAGAUACCCCAGUAGUCCUAGCCGUAAACGAUGGAUACUAGAUGUUGUGCUUUUUUUGCAGUGUCGUAGCUAACGCGUUAAGUAUCCCGCCUGGGAAGUACGCACGCAAGUGUG